CCUACGGGAGGCAGCAGUGGGGAAUAUUGGGCAAUGGAGGAAACUCUGACCCAGCGACGCCGCGUGCGGGAUGAAGGCCUUCGGGUUGUAAACCGCUUUCAGUAGGGAAGAAGCGAAAGUGACGGUACCUACAGAAGAAGCACCGGCUAACUAUGUGCCAGCAGCCGCGGUAAUACAUAGGGUGCAAGCGUUGUCCGGAAUUAUUGGGCGUAAAGAGCUCGUAGGUGGUUCGUCACGUCGGAUGUGAAAAUCUGGGGCUCAACCCCAGACCUGCAUUCGAUACGGGCGAUCUAGAGUGUGGUAGGGGAGACUGGAAUUCCUGGUGUAGCGGUGGAAUGCGCAGAUAUCAGGAGGAACACCAAUGGCGAAGGCAGGUCUCUGGGCCAUUACUGACACUGAGGAGCGAAAGCGUGGGGAGCGAACAGGAUUAGAUACCCUGGUAGUCCACGCCGUAAACGGUGGGCACUAGUUGUGGGAACCUUCCACGGUUUCUGCGACGCAGCUACGCAUAAGUAGCCCGCCGUCGGGAGGUACGAGUCGCGAAGAAUUAAACUAACAAUAGAAGUUAGACGGCGUGAGACGUCGCCGACGGACGACGACGAGGGAGGUUAGG
rnacentral:rRNA from 1 species